ensembl:lncRNA
UAAUGUCCCAUCUGUAUCUCCCCUGGCACAACUUGAGGCCAUUCCUCUGGUCCUAUCACUAGUUACAUGGGAGAAGAGGCCAGCUCCCACCUCACCACAAGCUCCUUUCAGGAUGGAGUAUGAGGAGCAGGUCCUCCUGGAAGAGAUAUUAAGGUACACACGAGAUGAAGUGAUCUGAGAAAGCCACUAUGGCUUCACCAAGGGCAGAUUGUUACUGACCAACCUGGUGGCCUUCUGUGAUGGAGUGACAACAUCAGUGGACAAAGGAUGUCAUCCACCUGGACUUCUGCAAGGCUUUUGACAUGGUCCUGCACCACAUUCUUAUCUCUAAAUUGGAGAGAGAUGGGGCUUCGGAGUGCAGUAGGAGACCCUCUCUGCCCUAAGUCCCCCAAUGCAGAUUUUUCCACCCUUCCAGUCCAUAUGUACCUGCACAGCUGACCUCACUAACUCCAGACACAACAUUAGAGCCUUCAGCCAUCUGCCCAACAAGGAUGACACCUCCUAGAGAAGAGAGAGCUACCCCUGCUUGGCCAGGAGCCCUUCAGGCUGGUCUUCCCUCCUGGUCCCUGAGAUGUGGCACCAGGCAAACUUCUGGGCUGGUGGCCCUGGGGCUUGGGAACUCCUCAAGGGAAAGCCAAGUUCGGAUGUUGGUCUGCCAUGGUUUGCACUGCAGUUCCCCAAAGUCUCCCCAUGGAUGUGUAUUUCAUAGAAUCUCAG